UACGAAGGGUUCAAGCGUUACUCGGAAUUACUGGGCGUAAAGCGUGCGUAGGUGGUUUGUUAAGUCUGAUGUGAAAGCCCCGGGCUCAACCUGGGAAUUGCAUUGGAUACUGGCAGGCUAGAGUGCGGUAGAGGGUAGUGGAAUUCCCGGUGUAGCAGUGAAAUGCGUAGAGAUCGGGAGGAACACCAGUGGCGAAGGCGACUACCUGGACCAGCACUGACACUGAGGCACGAAAGCGUGGGGAGCAAACAGG
rnacentral:rRNA from 1 species